CACUCCUAUCGGAUUCCAGCAGCCUGAAAGCAUAACCAAGACAUUGCUCAACUUCUAUCUACCCACAUGGAGGACACGAAAAAUGAGCAACUUUCAAAAACUAAAAUAUUUUAUGAUGCCAAACAUUGAUUAGAUUACCUAAUAUAUACAUAUAUGAUUCAUUCUUCUAUUUACAUUAUCCCAAGCCUAUAUGAUUAGAAGUUAGAACGUAUAAGUACCCUAUCUCAGCUGUCUUCAAUGGCGACUGCGCCCGGUGACGACAAUGGUCGUUUUGGAUGAUAUCCUUUGAUGAAAGACCAUACUUAGCAAUAACGGACAACUUUAACCAUCAUACGAAAGCAAUAUUACAAAAUCCUCAUAGCAAUUCCAAAAUUCAAAAUAUAAAAAUAUAAAAUUCAAAUAAUCCACUCAAAGAUAGCCACUGCCACCACACAACAGAAGAACAUAUACAUUUACGUGUCUCGUUUGAGACAAUAUAUACUAAUAUAGAUUUUCUUGAAGAACAGAUGUGUACAUACCUUUUCAUUUUCGCUUUCUAGUGCAGACGGGUGAACCCAAAAUACCUAAGCAUCGCAAGUCAAAAGUGCAAUAGAGCAUAGAGCAGACAUAAGCAGUGUAUAUAUCGGCUAAUAUAG
rnacentral:lncRNA from 1 species